AACAAACCAAAAUUAAUGAUGAAGUUAAACAAAGGCUAGAUACAAAUGAAUCAUCUCUAAAAGAUAUAUAUAAUAAAAUGGAUUUUCUACUAACUGCCUUUGAUGAGCAAAACACUCUUAAUAAAAGGGUAGAGCUUAAAUUAAUAAAGUUAGCUGCUGCACUGCCUAUUGCUACUAACCUUGAGCAGGUAAAGAAUAUAACUACUAGAGGAGGUAAAGCUACCAGAGAUCCACCAUACCCAAAAGAGAAACAAAGAACAUCAGCACCAGUGCAACCAGCAG
rnacentral:lncRNA from 1 species